rnacentral:lncRNA from 1 species
UCGAGGUGCCAUAAUGCUCGAAUUUCCCAAGAGAUUGAUGAAGAAUCAUGGUGGAAGGGGUUUUGAAGGGUUUAGAAGAGGAGUUGAGGGGAUUUAAGGUGAGCAAGCUUGGAAAAGGUAAAGCAAAUAGUAUUUUCAGAAAGAUAAAAGUUUUAUAUAAAAAUUAGGUCCCGAUCGUCGAGCCUGCUCGACCCCCUACUAGAUUCGACUUGAGAGUCGAGUCGAUAACUCACAGGCAC